UACGGGGGGGGCAAGCGUUGUUCGGAAUUAUCGUGGGCGUAAAGGGGUGCGCAGGCGGUUAUAUAAGACAGAUGUGAAAUCCCCGGGCUCAACCCCGGAACUGCAUUGGAUACUGCCUUGCUAGAGUACUGGAAAGGGAACUGGAAUUUACGGUGUAGCAGUGAAAUGCGUAGAGAUCGUAAGGAAGACCAGUGGCGAAGGCGAGUUCCUGGACAGUGACUGACGCUGAGGCACGAAGGCCAGGGGAGCAAACGGG
rnacentral:rRNA from 1 species